rnacentral:sRNA from 1 species
GAUCGUGAUGUAAACGCUGCGUUAAACAUUCUCCGUCGCGGACGUGCGACGCUAGCGGUAGGAAUCCUCGCCCUUUAGGGCGGGGAGGACGUCAACAUGACC